UAAGAACAGUAGGAAUUUUCCAGGUUGAACCUAUUGGUUUCUCAUCGAUGUUGAGCACGAGCACCAUUAGGAAUGCUUCGGCGUACCUCAAAUUCGUUGCUUAUGGCUUCUCUUCAUACUCUUCCAGCACUUCAUCGACCAGAAAGCGCACUGCCAUAGCUCCAAGAGCUCUUGCAAGAAGACCCACUUCGCGAACUGCCCCAAUCCCUCGGGCUUUGGACACAGAUGCCGUCAGUUCAGUAUGUUCUUUACUUUCAAACAAAAAUCACCAAACAACUAAUCUCGAACUUGAUCAUUUAUUGAAAAGAUUCAAAGAAACCUUGAGCUCGGAUUUCGUUCUUCAAAUUCUGAUGAAUUAUAGGCUGUUCGGUAGGGCUAAAACGCUAGAAUUCUUCUCCUGGUCUGGAUUGCAAAUGGGGUAUCGGUUUGAUGAGUCCGUGGUUGAGUACAUGGCUGAUUUCUUAGGUAGAAGGAAACUGUUUGAUGAUAUGAAAUGUCUUUUGGUGACGGUGUCGUCUUAUAAAGGUCGGAUUUCUUGUCGAACAUUUUCAAUUUGUAUUAGGUUUUUGGGUAGGCAAGGGAGGGUUAGAGAAGCACUUUGCUUAUUUGAAGAAAUGGAGCCAAAAUUUGGGUGUAAACCUGAUAAUCUGGUCUUUAAUAACAUGCUUUAUGCACUUUGUAAGAAGGAACCAACAGGGGAAUUGAUUGAUACUGCUCUAACAAUUUUCAGAAGAAUUGAAUUGCCUGAUAAAUAUUCAUACAGUAACAUAAUUAUUGGAUUAUGUAAAUUUGGUAGGUUUGGUACUGCUGUUGAAGUGUUUGAUGAAAUGCGUAGGGCAGGUUUGGUACCUACUCGAUCUGCUGUGAACAUUCUCAUUGGGGAUUUGUGUUCAUUGAGUGCCAAAGAAGGGGCUGUAGAACAAGUUAGGGUCAGAAGUACUCGUAGGCCUUUUACUGUCCUAGUUCCAAAUGUGAAUCCGAAGAGCGGAGCCAUUGAUCAUGCAGUUGGAGUUUUUUGGGCAGCUAAUAGGCUGGCUUUAGUUCCCAGUACUUUUGUAAUAGUUCGGCUCAUCUCGGAGCUUUGUCGAUUAGGCCAAAUGCAAGAAGCAAUUAGAGUAUUAAAGGUUGUCGAGGUUAACAAGCUAAGGUGUACUGAAGAGUGUUAUUCCAUUGUGAUGCAAGCAUUGUGUGAACAUCGUCGAGUAGACGAAGCUAGUGAUCUGUUUGGGAGGAUGCUUUCUCAGGAUAUGAAGCCAAAGUUGGCUAUUUAUAAUUCUGUUAUUUGUAUGCUAUGCAAAUUAGGAAAUUUGGAUGAUGCUGAAAGGGUCUUCAAGAUUAUGAACAGGAAAAGAUGCGUCCCGGAUCAUGUUACUUACUCGGCGCUAAUCCAUGCCUACGGUGAAGCUAGGAAUUGGUCAGCGGCCUACAGUUUAUUGAAGGAAAUGUUGAGUUUAGGCAUAUCCCCGCAUUUUCAUGUGUAUAGUAUGGUGGAUAAACUAAUGAGGGAAGAUGGGCAAACUGAUCUGUGCUUGAAGCUGGAAAUGAAGUGGGAAUCCCAAAUUUUGCAGAAACUUUGUAAACAAGGACAACUGGGGGAUGCGUAUGAAAAGCUAAAGUCAAUGCUUGAAAAGGGUUUUUAUCCUCCUAUCUAUGUAAGAGAUGCUUUCGAGAGCGCGUUUCAAAAGAAGGGUAAGUUUAAGAUUGCUCGGGAGUUGCUGCAGACGAUGGACGGAGUCCACGAACAUGAGUCGGAUUCCAGAAAGGCAUCAUGAGUUAUCGAAUGGAAAGCCUCACCUUUCAAUAUCAAAGAAAUUCCUUGACAAAUAUUUGGAAGCUCGAGCUUCUCUUGAAGGCCCUUCCCGUGAAAGCUCACCCACCCACCGAAGAUCUGCAUUCUAGGAGACCUCACCUCCUGGGUCGACGUGUGCAGUUUGCUGGGGUGUCUUCGGCCUGCUUGUGCGAUUGUGACACUAGGCACUUGUACUAGCUUUGACGAGAAUACACCCCACCCCAGAACAAUAACAAUGACGACAUAGAGGGCAAGAAGGCAAAGACUUCCAACUAGUUCCACAUGUUAUAAAAAUGGAGUAGGACGGCUAGUGAUAUACGGGAGGGAGAGUAGAGAUGAUGUCAAGUCCCGACUCCUUACAACUCGCACCAGAUUGGUCUAGAAAUUAGAGUGGCUACAUCGGCCGAGAUAUACAUAGAGAGACUUUACAAGAAAUGCCUCCCUCUAUUUUGCAAAACAAAAGCUAUUCUCGCCAUUCG